rnacentral:rRNA from 1 species
AUUGAACGCUGGCGGCAUGCCUUACACAUGCAAGUCGAACGGCAGCAUGAUCUAGCUUGCUAGAUUGAUGGCGAGUGGCGCACGGGUGAGUAAUACAUCGGAACGUGCCCUGUUGUGGGGGAUAACUAGUCGAAAGAUUAGCUAAUACCGCAUACGACCUGAGGGUGAAAGUGGGGGACCGCAAGGCCUCAUGCUAUAGGAGCGGCCGAUGUCUGAUUAGCUAGUUGGUGAGGUAAAGGCUCACCAAGGCGACGAUCAGUAGCUGGUCUGAGAGGACGAUCAGCCACACUGGGACUGAGACACGGCCCAGACUCCUACGGGAGGCAGCAGUGGGGAAUUUUGGACAAUGGGCGAAAGCCUGAUCCAGCAAUGCCGCGUGUGUGAAGAAGGCCUUCGGGUUGUAAAGCACUUUUGUCCGGAAAGAAAUGGCUCUGGUUAAUACCUGGGGUCGAUGACGGUACCGGAAGAAUAAGGACCGGCUAACUACGUG